AACGAACGCUGGCGGCAGGCCUAACACAUGCAAGUCGAACGAAGUCUUCGGACUUAGUGGCGGACGGGUUAGUAACGCGUGGGAACGUGCCCUUUACUUCGGAAUAGUCCCGGGAAACUGGGUUUAAUACCGAAUACGCCCUUUGGGGGAAAGAUUUAUCGGUAAAGGAUCGGCCCGCGUUGGAUUAGGUAGUUGGUGGGGUAAUGGCCUACCAAGCCGACGAUCCAUAGCUGGUUUGAGAGGAUGAUCAGCAACACUGGGACUGAGACACGGCCCAGACUCCUACGGGAGGCAGCAGUGAGGAAUCUUGGACAAUGGGGGCAACCCUGAUCCGACGCCAUCGCCGCGUAGAACGAUAGGAACGGUCCGUUUAGGGUUAG
rnacentral:rRNA from 1 species